rnacentral:rRNA from 1 species
GAAAGUAAUAAAGGGCGUAUGGGGGAUGCCUAGGCUCUUGGAGGCGAAGAAAGACGUGGUAAGCUGCGAUAAGCCUCGGGGAUUUGCAAACGAGAAUUGAUCCGAGGAUUUCUGAAUGGGACAACCCGGCAGGCAGAAGGCCUGUCACACGAAAGUGGGCCAACCCUCUGAACUGAAACAUCUUAGUAGGAGGAGGAAAAGAAAGAAACAUCGAUUUCCUAAGUAGCGGCGAGCGAACGGGAAACAGCCUAAACCACAAUUGUUACGGCAACUGUGGGGUUGUAGGACUGCAAUAUUCAAAUGACUGUGAACUGGAAUGUUCUGGAAAGUUCAUCCAAAGAGAGUGAAAGACUCGUACAGGCAAGCACGUCAAGCGAUAGCAGUAUCCUGAGUAGGGCGGGACACGAGGAAUCCUGUCUGAAUCCGCCGGGACCACCCGGUAAGGCUAAAUACUCCCAAGAGACCGAUAGUGAACCAGUACCGUGAGGGAAAGGUGAAAAGAACCCCGAACAGGGGAGUGAAAUAGAACCUGAAACCAUACGCUUACAACCUGUCGGAGCGGCUUCGUGCCGUGACGGCGUGCCUAUUGAAUAAUGAGCCUACGAGUUACUAAUCACUGGCAAGGUUAAGUGCACGGAUGCACGGAGCCGAAGCGAAAGCGAGUCUGAAUAGGGCGUUUAGUCAGUGGUUGUAGACGCGAAACCUUGCGAUCUACCCUUGAGCAGGUUGAAGGUUGGGUAAAACCAACUGGAGGACCGAACGAAUAAGCGUUGAAAAGCUUCUCGAUGACUUGAGGGUAGGGGUGAAAGGCUAAUCAAGCUGGGAAAUAGCUCGUACUCCCCGAAAUGCCUUUAGGGGCAGCGUUGUAAUUAAGAGUCUACUGGAGGUAGAGCUACUGAUUGGAUGCGGGGGCUUCACCGCCUACCAAAUCCUGACAAACUCCGAAUGCCAGUAGUAUGAUUUACAGCAGUGAGCGACCGGGUGCUAAUGUCCGGUUACGAGAGUGGAACAACACAGACCAGCAACUAAGGUCCCCAAGAGUAUACUAAGUUGAUCUAACGAUGUUUUGCUGCAGAGACAGCUAGGAUGUUAGCUUGGAAGCAGCUAUUCAUUCAAAGAGUGCGUAACAGCUCACUAGUCGAGCGGCAAAGCGUGGAUAAUAAACGGGCAUCAAGUAUACCACCGAAGUUCUGGGCACGAAAGUGCGGUAGGGGAGCAUUCCAUUCCGCGUUGAAGCCGAACCGUGAGGUUUGGUGGAGUGUAUGGAAAAGCAAAUGUAGGCAUGAGUAACGAUAAUGCGGGAGAGUAACCCGCACACCGCAAGACCAAGGUUUCCUGAUCAACGCUAAUCGGAUCAGGGUUAGUCGGGUCCUAAGGGUAAGCCGAACGGUGAUCUCGAUGGAUAAUCGGUUAAUAUUCCGAUACUGACAUAUACCUCGAUGGAGAGACGAAGGAACGUAAGUGCCGCCACCUGACGGAAUAGGUGGUUAAAGGGCUUAGGUAUAGGGGCAGAUUAAGAGUUAGUCCUUGCUGAAACCUGACAGUACAGAGAGCCUACGGGCAAUUUGAUAGUGCACCCAAGUCGACUUCCGAGAAAAUCUUCUAAGUUAUAGUAUAUGUCACCCGUACCGUAAACCGACACAGGUGGUCGAGGAGAGUAUCCUAAGGUGCUCGAGUGAAUCACGGUUAAGGAACUAGGCAAAUUAACCCCGUAACUUCGGGAAAAGGGGUCCCAUCGCGAGGUGGGCGCAGCGAAGAGGUCCAGGCGACUGUUUAUCAAAAACACAGGGCUCUGCAAAUUCGAAAGAAGACGUAUAGGGCCUGACACCUGCCCGGUGCUGGAAGGUUAAGAGGGGAUGUCAUCGCAAGAGAAGCAUUGAAUCGAAGCCCCAGUAAACGGCGGCCGUAACUAUAACGGUCCUAAGGUAGCGAAAUUCCUUGUC